AUUGAACGCUGGCGGCAGGCCUAACACAUGCAAGUCGAGCGGAUGAGUGGAGCUUGCUCCAUGAUUCAGCGGCGGACGGGUGAGUAAUGCCUAGGAAUCUGCCUGGUAGUGGGGGACAACGUUUCGAAAGGAACGCUAAUACCGCAUACGUCCUACGGGAGAAAGCAGGGGACCUUCGGGCCUUGCGCUAUCAGAUGAGCCUAGGUCGGAUUAGCUAGUAGAUGAGGUAAUGGCUCACCUAGGCGACGAUCCGUAACUGGUCUGAGAGGAUGAUCAGUCACACUAGAACUGAGACACGGUCCAGACUCCUACGGGAGGCAGCAGUGGGGAGUAUUGGACAAUGGGCGAAAGCCUGAUCCAGCCAUGCCGCGUGUGUGAAGAAGGUCUUCGGAUUGUAAAGCACUUUAAGUUGAGAGGAAGGGCAGUAAGUUAAUACCUUGCUGUUUUGACGUUACCAACAGAAUAAGCACCGGCUAACUUCGUGCCAGCCGCCGCGGUAAUAC
rnacentral:rRNA from 1 species